UCGGGAAUUUUGGGCAAUGGGCGAAAGCCUGACCCAGCAACGCCGCGUGAGGGAUGAAGUAUUUCGGUUUGUAAACCUCGAAAGAAUGGGAAGAAUAAAUGACGGUACCAUUUAUAAGCUCCGGCUAACUACGUGCCAGCAGCCGCGGUAAUACGUAGGGAGCAAGCGUUGUUCGGAUUUACUGGGCGUAAAGGGCGCGUAGGCGGCGCGGUAAGUCACUUGUGAAAUCUCUGAGCUUAACUCAGAACGGCCAAGUGAUACUGCUGUGCUAGAGUGCGGAAGAGGCAACCGGAAUUCUUGGUGGAGCGGUGAAAUGCGUAGAUAUCAAGAGGAACACCUGAGGCGAAGGCGGGUUGCUGGGCCGACACUGACGCUGAUGCGCGAAAGCCAGGGGAGCAAACG
rnacentral:rRNA from 1 species